GAUGAACGCUGGCGGCGUGCUUAACACAUGCAAGUCGAACGGAAAGGCCCAAGCUUGCUUGGGUACUCGAGUGGCGAACGGGUGAGUAACACGUGGGUGAUCUGCCCUGCACUUCGGGAUAAGCCUGGGAAACUGGGUCUAAUACCGGAUAGGACCACAUUUUGGAUGGUGUGGUGGAAAGUUUUGCGGGUUGGGAUGAGCUCGCGGGCUAUCAGCUUGUUGGUGGGGUAAUGGCCUACCAAGGCGUCGACGGGUAGCCGGCCUGAGAGGGUGUACGGCCACAUUGGGACUGAGAUACGGCCCAGACGCCUACGGGAGGCAGUAGUGGGGAAUAUUGCACAAUGGGCGCAAGCCUGAUGCAGCGACGCCGCGUGGGGGAUGACGGCCUUCGGGUUGUAAACUCCUUUCGCUAGGGACGAAGCGUUAUGUGACGGUACCUGGAGAAGAAGCACCGGCUAACUACGUG
rnacentral:rRNA from 1 species